GAGAGUAAAGGCACACGGCUCUCUUGGAAAUAGAAACAAAUGACAAGUUUGAAAAUAAAACAUGAAAUGAAAGACUUAUUAUAACAUAAGGUUGAUCCGGGAUAAGGUUGGAUCGAGAUCAUCAACUAAGAGAUUUGAGAAGCAAAUCUAUGGCCUCGUUAAAAACCUAUCUUUGGAAAACCCAUUGGGACAAAACCAAAGAUAGGGAAAAAGAGCACGCAUAGAUUGCUUGCUUAGUUGAUGAUCAGCUUGAUGGUGAAGUAGCUUGAAU
rnacentral:lncRNA from 1 species